rnacentral:antisense_RNA from 1 species
GAAAGCCAUAUCAUUUGGCUUGUUUCCACCUUUGGCUAGUGUGAAUAACGCUGCUAUGAACAAAGACAUGCAGAUAUCUGCUGGGGACCCUGCUCUCAGUUCUUUUCAGAAUAUACUAGAAAUAGAAUUGCUGCAUCGUGUGAUCCCUGGGUGUCCUGCUGUCCUCUCACAUGGAGAAAUCCCAGCACUGGGAGAAAGGACAGGGUCUUUAUUAUCAGAUACAUGCAGCCACUCCUCCAGCAUCUCCUCUCCCACAGGGCAAGUGCGGCUGCUCCAGGCUCUCCCCAGUGUCACUAUUUCUCUCCAGAGCUGGGAUCUCCAUUCCCCAUACUUUGCUGCUUUUUGUUUGUUUGUUUCCUGUUUCUCAAGGCAUAUAAAGCUGCAGGAAUACAGAUGGGAUUGGAUCUGCAGCGCCUAAAACAAAUGCUGGGUAAACGUUUCCAGAAUGUAUGAA